GUAAGCAAUAAAUUAAAACACGUACUAGGUUUACUCUCUAUGCAAAGUACUUUGCAUGCAUAAGGUUUUAAGACUGAAAUAACUGUCUGGCUAUUGGGUGGAAUUCAGUGUCAGUUUGGAUUACUGGGGCAGAGAGAAAAAAUUUCAUGAACACACAGAUUGACAGUAGACUUUUAUUAACAUAUCUUACAAUGCCAAUUAUUGUAUUCCUAGUUUUGUACUCUUCUGAUGUGUUAUAAAGAUUUAGAGUCUACAGUAAUGUACUGUACUUAAAUGAUCAUUCAUACAGGAUAUCACACCAGAACAUUUGAGUAAUAUGCACACACACCACUCUAGUUUGGACCUGUUAUUUUUCAAGGUUAUCUUAAUAAAGUAGGAAUUUAAAAGUUAUGGGGGAAAUAAAAAUCCUUGUUUAGCAGCAUGCAAGGAUAUUCAAGUACAAUUUUUCAACCAAGUAAUUUUUUGUCGUUUUUAAAUUGACUGGUGACUAAUUCACCAGUACUAUAAUAACCACUAUGAAAUACCCAAAUGUUAAAGUUAAGGCUAAUAGUUUUACUUCACAUCCAUAUGCACAAUCAGAGAACAUUCUGUUUUAAAUAAAACACAGUAAUCAAAUUCUGGACACAUUAUCUCUUGUAAAUAAAGCACUGGAGCUUCAAACUACAGAUCACUCAAGUUCAUGAGCCCUGUAAUAAUGUUAUGCUGGCAAUGUAAAGAAUCUUUUUGCUCUUUAACCACACUUACAAAAUGGCCUGAUAUUCUUAAUGAGCAAUGCAAAAAUAUCACAGGCAGAACUUAUAAUACAGUAUCAAAAAAGUAGUAUUUUGGAAAAGACACAGCCAUUUAGUCAGUGAGACAGAGUAAUUCUAAUCUUAUAGGAAGUAGUGUAAUACUUUUGAAAUAUAUAUAUAUAUAUAUUUAUAUGUAUGUAUAAAAACCAGUAUCAUUUAUUGUAGGCUUUUUCAAAUUGCAGGUAUCCAGAAGAACUCAUUGUAUUUACUUUUCCUUCAGUCUGUUCUUGAUGGCUAUACAGUCAUUUUAUUUCCCCUAUACACUUUUCAGUAGAUAAUGAUUUCCACUGGGGAAUUGUUUUCUUUGUAUAUGUGGCUUUAUCAUAAGAUGUUUUUAUUUUACACAUACAAAGUUUAUUUUACACACAAGCUGUGGAAGUCAAAACUACCAGGGAACUGCUUGGUAGUACUGUAUGAAAUAGCCCACAAAUGUCCAAGACUUGUGAAAAACAAUAGUAGGAAUAUAUUACAUACCAGUAUUUUGACUAUAAUCUUUCCCACCUACUUACGCUAUGGAUUUUAGCCCAGUUAUGCCUCUUCUCAUGAAUUUUUUAGUCCUCUAAGCAUAAAUUGUUUCGGCAUUCAUCCAGUGAGGCUGCACAUGCACUGGUAGCUCAUCUUGGCUACCUCUGUUGAAUUUUAUUUUUUUUUUCCCUUUUUAGGAAACCAAGCAGAAAGAACAGUGAUUACUUGAAACAAAUAAAUACAAUAUUGAGGAACCUCCUGAAAUGACAGUAAAGAUACAAAAUUAUGUUCCAUUUUUAGAAUAGCCUGCACAUUCCUAAUCCAAUCAUUCUGAAACAUACAUCUGGUUUGGAAUGAUAGGCAGGCUCAUGGUUAUUACGCUUGUAACUGGGAUCUGCUAUGUUGGGCACGAAACAAAUUCCCUAUAUACAGCAAUUUCUGUAUAUUAUCAUUAACAAUUCAUUCAAAUGAUAGGAAAAAAAGAAAAGUUCCUUCCUGGAAAAAAAUGAAGACAGAAUGUGUGUUCUGGAUUACAUGAAGAGCAGUAAGAUACCUAAUUUACAGUUAUUUCAUUUACUUAUGGAGGAAAAAAAAAUGAAGUUCCUGAGAAUGUGUAAGUUUUCAGUAAUGCCUGAAAUAUUUCAAUAGAUCUCUACAAGUGAAAUACUCUUUAAAAUUCACCUUUCAGACCAAUUAUUACCAUGCAGUCUCACAGUCAUUUUACAGACCUAAUUACAAAUGCCUAUCAAGUCAAAACCUCAAGCCAACACAAAAAAGGCAAAGAAAUUUUAUCCAACAUACUUAGUAGAUGUAAUAGACAUAUACACCAUUUCAGCAAAAAUUGCUAAAAACUCAACUCCAUGCAAAGUAAAAUAAAACCCAGACAGCUACCCCUGGAGCCUCUAAACAACUCCAAGUAAAUUUGUGCUUCUUAACAAUAAUGGACUUUAAAAAACACAAGAAAAAUAGACUACUGAGUGCAAUAAGAUUGCUCACACCAUUUUGACGAUUUAAUUUCAAUUAUUGUAUCAUUCUUUUGUAGCAACAACAGCUCAUUUUGCACAGAUUACACAUGUUGACAAAGUUCCAUUUCCCUUUUAUGCCCAUACCCGCUUCCACCCCGAGCCAAG